rnacentral:rRNA from 1 species
GACGAACGCUGGCGGCGUGCUUAACACAUGCAAGUCGAGCGAUGAAACACCUUCGGGUGUGAAUUAGCGGCGAACGGGUGAGGAACACGUGAAGAAUCUGCCUUCAACUCUGGGAUAACUCCGGGAAACCGGGGCUAAUACCGGAUAUGAGCCUUGAUCGCAUGAUCGGGGCUGGAAAGUUUUUCGGUUGAAGAUGACUUCGCGGCCUAUCAGCUUGUUGGUGAGGUAAUGGCUCACCAAGGCGACGACGGGUAGCCGGCCUGAGAGGGCGACCGGCCACACUGGGACUGAGACACGGCCCAGACUCCUACGGGAGGCAGCAGUGGGGAAUAUUGGGCAAUGGAGGAAACUCUGACCCAGCGACGCCGCGUGCGGGAUGAAGGCCUUCGGGUUGUAAACCGCUUUCAGCAGGGAAUAAGCGCAAGUGAAGGUACCUGCAGAAGAAGCACCGGCUAACUAUGUGCCAGCAGCCGCGGUAAUACAUAGGGUGCAAGCGUUGUCCGGAAUUAUUGGGCGUAAAGAGCUCGUAGGUGGUUUGUUACGUCGGUUGUGAAAUUCAGGGGCUCAACCCCUGACUUGCAGCCGAUACGGGCAAGCUAGAGUUUGGUAGGGGAGACUGGAAUUCCUGGUGUAGCGGUGGAAUGCGCAGAUAUCAGGAGGAACACCGAUGGCGGAGGCAGGUCUCUGGGCCAAUACUGACACUGAGGAGCGAAAGCGUGGGGAGCGAACAGGAUUAGAUACCCUGGUAGUCCACGCCGUAAACGGUGGGCGCUAGUUGUGCGAACCUUCCACGGUUUGUGCGACGCAGCUAACGCAUUAAGCGCCCCGCCCUGGGAGUACGAUCGCAAGAUUA